UAUUCGCGCAGCGCGCUCCCGUCUCACCUGCUGGUGCGCGAGCCCGAUAAUUAGACAGCUGCGUCUAAUCAAGGAGUGCAUAAGACGCCACCGCAGCGCUGACUGGAAGAAAGUUCACUAUCCUUGAUUUUAACCCAGAGUUGUGCCAAAAAAGUAUCAAAACCAAAAGCUGAACGGACAGCCGGCUCACAUGGUCCUGGUUGCUUGGAUCAGUGUUACGAUUUGGUGGGCGCAUUGUGAUGCGCGGAGGUGUCGGCCCCAAGAUGCCAAAGACGGGAGCAAGCAGGAGUGGAGAGGGAAUUUGGAACGAGCCAAGCGAGAAUAUGUCCGGAUGCUGGAGUGGCUAAUUCAGCUGGAACUCAUUUAGCAAUGACACACAAAGGAACAUUACAGCAACAUGCACAGACCAAGGAUGGUGUGCAGGGGUUCCAAUGAUAAUAGCGUUACCACCGUGUUGGCCCUGGGUAGCUCCUUGAGCAAUAUUGGACUGUUACAUCCACAGUGCAAGAAGGAGCGCUACCACAGGUCCUUUCUAACCACAGCCAUUACGCUUUACAACACCCUUAUGUGAUUACUGGGAUCUUUUUUCUUGGUGUGCAAUACAGAUGUUAGUGUUCUUUUUUUGUUUUUAUUUCAUAUUUUAUCCAUACAUAUUGGUGUACAAUAUGUAGUAUUUAAAUUUAGUUUGUUUUGUUUUUUAUUACGUUUUUCUCCUGCUCCUGUAUGUAAAAAAACUUCACAGUGUGGGAUAAAUAAAAAUCUACCCAACCCUA